GCUGGUUAACCUCUCAUUGUGUAAGGAAUGCUGCUCACGUGAAUGGGAUAGGCCUUGAGCAGACCCCUAAUCCCACUGUUCUGCUGCUGAUGCACCUGCGUGUGAUGAGGAGGACUCCCAUAGCCUCUGUGAAUUUGGCUACAUCCCAACAGGACUGGUGCUGAUUCCAGUCACACUCAACAUUUUGCAGACUGAAAUCUGGCUUGGACUUUAAGAAGUGAAGAGUAAAAUUUUAUUAUAUUUAGUCAAAACCCAAUCUAGGGUGUGAUGCAGCUCUUGAUGCAAUUCUUGAUCAGCAGGCAGGUGGAAUAAGAUGCUGAUGAACUGCAGCAGAAAGGUCUGAGACCAAAACAGCACAAGUGUCUGUCAAGCUGGUGUAUGUGAAGGGCUCCUGUUCUGCAGAUGACAGCAGUGGAGAAACACCAUACAUGUUAUCUGACCCCAAGGGGAUUCCAAAAUACAGAACUGAGGCAGUGAAACAUUGGGCUGGACUGAGAAGAAGGUUAAUAUUGUACAAGGUGUUAUAUUGGUUAUUGCAUUUACGUAUGGGUCAGCUAUUUGAGCAGGAGGGGAGAAAUAGCAGUGCAAUCAAACCUGUGAAUGAAGGCUUCCAUCUUCCCUCCAGAGGCCAGCAGCACUGAAUGGGCACAGACACCCACACUGGCCCUGAGCUUAUCCACACCAAGAGGGCAGCUGGCUUCCAUGGGCCUGGGACAGGCAUGGAAGUAAGAACAUUAUUAAGUUCUUAGCUGAGAACCAAGUGGACACAAAGCAGAUU